AUGCUCAAAAUUCUCCAAGCCAGGCUCCAGCAAUACGUGAACCGUGAACUUCCUGAUGUUCAAGCUGGUUUUAGAAAAGGCAGAGGAACCAGAAAUCAAAUUGCCAACAUCCACUGGAUCGUGGAAAAAGCAAGAGAGUUCCAGAAAAACAUCUAUUUCUGCUUUAUUAACUAUGCCAAAGCCUUUGACUGUGUGGAUCACAAUAAACUGUGGAAAAUUCUGAAAGAGAUGGGAAUACCAGACCACCUAACCUGCCUCUUGAGAAAUCUGUAUGCAGGUCAGGAAGCAACAGUUAGAAUUGGACAUGGAACAAUAGACUGGUUCCAAAUAGGAAAAGGAGUUCGUCAAGUCUGUAUAUUGUCGCCCUGCAUAUUUAACUUAUAUGCAGAGUACAUCAUGAGAAACGCUGGGCUGGAAGAAGCACAAGCUGAAAUCAAGAUUGCCGGGAGAAAUAUCAAUCACCUCAGAUAUGCAGAUGACACCACCCUUAUGGCAGAAAGUGAAGAGGAACUAAAAAGCCUCUUGAUGAAAGUGAAAGAGGAGAGCGAUAAAGUUGGCCUAAAGCUCAACAUUCAGAAAACGAAGAUCACGGCAUCUGUUCCCAUCACUUCAUGGGAAAUAGAUGGAGAACCAGUGGAAACAGUGUCAGACUUCAUCUUUUGGGGCUCCAAAAUCACUGCAGAUGGUGACUGCAGCCAUGAAAUUCAAAGACGCUUACUGCUUGUAAGAAAAGUUAUGUCCAACCUAGAUAGUAUAUUCAAAAGCAGAGACGUUACUUUGCCGACUAAGGUCCAUCUAAUCAAGGCUAUGGUUUUUCCUGUGGUCAUGUAUGGAUGUGAGAGUUGGACUGAGAAGAAGGCUGAGCGCCAAAUAAUUGAUGCGUUUGAACUGAGCUGUUGGAGAAGACUCUUGAGAGUCCCUUGGACUGCAAGGAGAUCCAACCAGUCCAUUCUGAAGGAGAUCAACCCUGGGAUUCCUUUGGAAGGAAUGAUGCUAAAGCUGAAGCUCCAGUACUUCGGCCACCUCAUGCGAAGAGCCGACUCAUUGGAAAAGACUCUGAUGCUGGGAGGGAUUGGGGGCAGGAGGAGAAGGAGAUGA
rnacentral:lncRNA from 1 species